UACGUAGGGUGCGAGCGUUGUCCGGAAUUAUUGGGCGUAAAGGGCUCGUAGGCGGUUUGUCGCGUCGGGAGUGAAAACACUGGGCUUAACUCAGUGCUUGCUUCCGAUACGGGCAGACUAGAGGUAUGCAGGGGAGAACGGAAUUCCUGGUGUAGCGGUGAAAUGCGCAGAUAUCAGGAGGAACACCGGUGGCGAAGGCGGUUCUCUGGGCCGUAACUGACGCUGAGGAGCGAAAGCAUGGGGAGCGAACAGG
rnacentral:rRNA from 1 species